GACGAACGCUGGCGGCGUGCCUAAUACAUGCAAGUAGAACGCUGAAGGAGGAGCUUGCUUCUCUGGAUGAGUUGCGAACGGGUGAGUAACGCGUAGGUAACCUGCCUGGUAGCGGGGGAUAACUAUUGGAAACGAUAGCUAAUACCGCAUAAGAGUAGAUGUUGCAUGACAUUUGCUUAAAAGGUGCAAUUGCAUCACUACCAGAUGGACCUGCGUUGUAUUAGCUAGUUGGUGAGGUAACGGCUCACCAAGGCGACGAUACAUAGCCGACCUGAGAGGGUGAUCAGCCACACUGGGACUGAGACCCGGCCCAGUCGCCUACGGGAGGCAGCAGGAGGGAAUCUUCGGCAAUGGACGGAAGUCUGAGCGAGCAACGCCGCGGGAGUGAAGAAGGUUGUCGGAUCGUAAAGCUCUGUUGUAAGAGAAGAACGAGUGUGAGAGUGGAAAGUUCACACUGUGACGGUAGCUGACCAGAAAGGGACGGCUAACUACGUG
rnacentral:rRNA from 1 species